UCCACGCCGUAAACGAUGGAUACUAGCUGUUGGGAGUAAUCUCAGUGGCCAAGCGAAAGUGAUAAGUAUCCCACCUGGGGAGUACGUUCGCAAGAAUGAAACUCAAAGGAAUUGACGGGGGCCCGCACAAGCGGUGGAGCAUGUGGUUUAAUUCGAUGAUACGCGAGGAACCUUACCAGGGCUUAAAUGUAAGUUGCAUUAGUUAGAGAUAGCUAUUUCUUCGGACUACUUACAAGGUGCUGCAUGGUUGUCGUCAGCUCGUGCCGUGAGGUGUCAGGUUAAGUCCUAUAACGAGCGCAACCCCUAUCGUUAGUUGCUAACAGGUUAAGCUGAGGACUCUAAUGAGACUGCCGGUGCAAACCGUGAGGAAGGU
rnacentral:rRNA from 1 species